UACGAAGGGGGCUAGCGUUGCUCGGAAUCACUGGGCGUAAAGCGUGCGCAGGCGGUUUUGUAAGUCUGUCGUGAAAGCCCCGGGCUCAACCUGGGAAUUGCGAUGGAGACUGCAAGGCUUGAAUCUGGCAGAGGGGGGUAGAAUUCCACGUGUAGCAGUGAAAUGCGUAGAGAUGUGGAGGAACACCGAUGGCGAAGGCAGCCCCCCUGGGUCAAGAUUGACGCUCAUGCACGAAAGCGUGGGGAGCAAACAGG
rnacentral:rRNA from 1 species